GGCUUUGCUGCAUAAUGAAUUUUUGGGACAAUACUUCUGUUCAGCACUCAGUACAACACCUGGCCGUAUAUGUUCCAACUAUGUAAUGUGUUCUGGUGAUGAAUUCUUGAUGAUACAGGACAUCGAUCUCUCACUCUGGGGGUUGUGGAAGAAUCACGUGGCUUUGGCUUCUCUGAUGAUUAUUUUUCUCACAAUUGCAUACCUAAAAUUUUUAUUUCUUAAAACACCAAUUUUCGCUUCAAUUUUCUAUGAAUUAGAUUUACAUUUAAAAAGGACCUUGAUUUAAGUAUCUAAUGAGAAUAUCUUGUUAUGUUCUGUUCAUUUCCAUUACACUAUAGAUCAGCAACAAUUUUUUUUCUUUUUUUUAUUGGUUGUUCAAAACAUUACAAAGCUCUUGACAUAAGCAACAAUUAUUUUUAAUAUAAAAAUACAGGACAACAAAUUGAAUUAAACAUCAAAUAACCCAAGCCAAAACCCAAUGAUAUUACAUAUUGCAUUUUAAUUUAUCUCAUCAGACAGCAAGCAUUAGGAGGAAAUGCUGGCUAAUUUAUUGAACUAAGGGGGAAAAAAGGAGGAUUUAACUCUAGAAGUUCUUGAAAAGUUGCUAAUAUCUCUGGUAUCAGUUUCCUCAUGUUCAAAAUGAGUAGGCCAGUAGCCCUCCAGUUGUUAUAGUCUAUAUAUCUUUGAUCUGUCAUUCUUCAAUAAAUAACAAAUGUGUUAAUGUUGUUUUGGAAGUAAAAAAAUUCAAAUACUU